AUUCAACUGACGAGUCCCAAGUAGGACGAAACGCUCGUCCUGGAU
rnacentral:hammerhead_ribozyme from 1 species